rnacentral:rRNA from 1 species
GACGAACGCUGGCGGCGUGCUUAACACAUGCAAGUCGAACGAAGUAGCGAACGGGUGAGUAACGCGUAAUCAACCUGCCCUUCAGCGGGAGACAACAGUUGGAACCGACUGCUAAUACCGCAUACUGAAGGAGGGGAUUGCGUCGGAUUAGCUAGUAGGAGGGGUAACGGCCCACCAAGGCGAUGAUCAGUAGCGGGUCUGAGAGGAUGAACGGCCACAUUGGGACUGAGACACGGCCCAGACUCCUACGGGAGGCAGCAGUGGGGAAUCUUCCGCAAUGGACGAAAGUCUGACGGAGCAACGCCGCGUGAGUGAUGACGGCCUUCGGGUUGUAAAGCUCUGUUAAUCGGGACGCGGUACCGGAAUAGAAAGCCACGGCUAACUACGUGCCAGCAGCCGCGGUAAUUC